CGACGUCGCUUGUUCUCCUGGGUUGAUGGAUUUCGGGCGUUCUCGAGUUUUCUUCUCUGACUCACCCACAAAAACCCCGCCACAACCACGGCCACGGGAUAGCUAGAAAGCUAUGGAGGACAAGCAACGGCACGGAGAACGAGCCAGCUCCAACCAAAGCGAGGUCGCAUGCAUUACACUUUACACUGCUGAAAACGAUUUCGUUUACUUGAACUUGCCACCAGUCGUUACUGUAUCCUGAACUUCGCGGCACAUGGAGGGGAUCAAGAAUGAGCGAACUCGAGUUAAGCAAGCGUUUUCCAGUGCGCUACACAUAAAGGGUCGCGAAAAUGAAACCCGCCUUUGGCGCUUGGAAGGACUACAACGUGAAAGUCUACGCCUAGAAGCACGAUCUUCCUUGGUGAAUUCCGGGUAAUGCGAAAUCGCGUUUGGUGAAGUUUUGAGAGCGCCCCGUUUUACGUUUGACAUUGUUCUUUUUACGAUUAAUUUGGUUUUGCGGAUCCGCUUAAAGAGGUAAAGCAUUUUUUGCGUUUUUGUUUUUCGUAUUUUAC